CUUGAUGGACCCCAGCCACAGCGGCGCCUCGUCCGCGCGCCCCUGCCCGUAGGUGGCGAGCAGCGCCUGCGCCUC
rnacentral:antisense_RNA from 1 species